UGCCAGCCGCCGCGGUAAUACAGAGACCCCGAGCGUUAACCGGAUUUAUUGGGCGUAAAGCGUGCGCAGGUGGUUUUGUAAGUCAUAUGUUAAAUCUUCAGGCUCAACCUGGAGGCUGCGUGUGAUACUGCAAGACUAGAGUAUGGGAGAGGUCGGCGGAAUGCCCAGUGUAGGGGUAAAAUCCGUUAAUAUUGGGUAGAACACCAAAAGCGAAGGCAGCCGACUGGAACAUUACUGACACUGAUGCACGAAAGCGUGGGUAGCGAAUGGGAUUAGAUA
rnacentral:rRNA from 1 species